UACGGGGGGGGCAAGCGUUGUUCGGAAUUACUGGGCGUAAAGGGCUCGUAGGUGGCCAACUAAGUCAGACGUGAAAUCCCCAGGCUUAACCUGGGAACUGCGUCUGAUACUGGAUGGCUUGAAUUCGGGAGAGGGAUGCAGAGUUCCAGGUGUAGCGGUGAAAUGCGUAGAUAUCUGGAGGAAUACCGGUGGCGAAGGCGGCAUCCUGGACCGGCAUUGACGCUGAGGAGCGAAAGCUAGGGGAGCAAACGGG
rnacentral:rRNA from 1 species